rnacentral:rRNA from 1 species
AGUCGAGCGGCAGCACGGGUACUUGUACCUGGUGGCGAGCGGCGGACGGGUGAGUAAUGCCUAGGAAUCUGCCUGGUAGUGGGGGAUAACGCUCGGAAACGGACGCUAAUACCGCAUACGUCCUACGGGAGAAAGCAGGGGACCUUCGGGCCUUGCGCUAUCAGAUGAGCCUAGGUCGGAUUAGCUAGUUGGUGAGGUAAUGGCUCACCAAGGCGACGAUCCGUAACUGGUCUGAGAGGAUGAUCAGUCUCACUGGAACUGAGACACGGUCCAGACUCCUACGGGAGGCAGCAGUGGGGAAUAUUGGACAAUGGGGGAAAGCCUGAUCCAGCCAUGCCGCGUGUGUGAAGAAGGUCUUCGGAUUGUAAAGCACUUUAAGUUGGGAGGAAGGGCAUUUACCUACUACGUAAGUGUUUUGACGUUACCGACAGAAUAAGCACCGGCUAACUCUGUGCCAGCAGCCGCGGUAAUACAGAGGGUGCAAGCGUUAAUCGGAAUUACUGGGCGUAAAGCGCGCGUAGGUGGUUCGUUAAGUUGGAUGUGAAAUCCCCGGGCUCAACCUGGGAACUGCAUUCAAAACUGUCGAGCUAGAGUAUGGUAGAGGGUGGUGGAAUUUCCUGUGUAGCGGUGAAAUGCGUAUAUAUAGGAAGGAACACCAGUGGCGAAGGCGACCACCUG